GACGAACGCUGGCGGCGUGCUUAACACAUGCAAGUCGAACGGAAAGGCCCUUCGGGGUACUCGAGUGGCGAACGGGUGAGUAACACGUGGGUGAUCUGCCCUGCACUUUGGGAUAAGCCUGGGAAACUGGGUCUAAUACCGAAUAGGACCACGCGCUUCAUGGUGUGUGGUGGAAAGCUUUUGCGGUGUGGGAUGGGCCCGCGGCCUAUCAGCUUGUUGGUGGGGUAAUGGCCUACCAAGGCGACGACGGGUAGCCGGCCUGAGAGGGUGACCGGCCACACUGGGACUGAGAUACGGCCCAGACUCCUACGGGAGGCAGCAGUGGGGAAUAUUGCACAAUGGGCGCAAGCCGGAUGCAGCGACGCCGCGUGAGGGAUGACGGCCUUCGGGUUGUAAACCUCUUUCACCAGGGACGAAGCGUAAGUGACGGUACCUGGAGAAGAAGCACCGGCCAACUACGUG
rnacentral:rRNA from 1 species